UUGGAGGGCAAGUCUGGUGCCAGCAGCCGCGGUAAUUCCAGCUCCAAUAGCGUAUAUUAAAGUUGUUGCAGUUAAAAAGCUCGUAGUUGAAUUUCGGGAUCAGUAGGUUGGUCAUGCCAAUGGUAUGUACUGGCUUUACUGAUUCCUCCUUCUUGAUGAUCUGUAAUGUCAUUAAUUUGGUGUUGCAGGGAGUCAGGACUGUUACUUUGAAAAAAUUAGAGUGUUUAAAGCAGGCAUGCGCUUGAAUACAUUAGCAUGGAAUAAUGAAAUAGGACGUUCGAUCCUAUUUUGUUGGUUUCUAGGAUUGACGUAAUGAUUAAUAGGGAUAGUUGGGGGCAUUAGUAUUCAAUUGUCAGAGGUGAAAUUCUUGGAUUUAUUGAAGACUAACUACUGCGAAAGCAUUUGCCAAGGAUGUUUUCAUUAAUCAAGAACGAAAGUUAGGGGAUCGAAGACGAUCAGAUACCGUCGUAGUCUUAACCAUAAACUAUGCCGACUAGGGAUCGGAUGAUGUUAUUUUUAAUGACUCAUUCGGCGCCUUACGGGAAAC
rnacentral:rRNA from 1 species